AUUGAACGCUGGUGGCAUGCUUAACACAUGCAAGUCGAACGGUAACAGGCUAAGACAAUCCCUUCGGGGUGCGUUGUGCGCUGACGAGUGGCGGACGGGUGAGUAAUGCGUAGGAAUCUGCCCAAUAGCGGGGGACAACUCGGAGAAAUCCGAGCUAAUACCGCAUAAGCCUUACGAGGGAAAGAUGGCCUCUUCUUGAAAGCUAUCACUAUUGGAUGAGCCUACGUCGGAUUAGCUUGUUGGUGGGGUAAUGGCCUACCAAGGCGACGAUCCGUAGCUGGUCUGAGAGGAUGAUCAGCCACUCUGGGACUGAGACACGGCCCAG
rnacentral:rRNA from 1 species